AUGGCCACAUCGCGUUGAAACAUCGGUUCCCGUACGAUCACCGAAGUUAAGCAACCUGGAGUCUUGUCAGUACCAAAAUGGGUGACUGCUUGGGAACCUAGGUGCUAUA